ACAAUCCAUGUAUAUUUGAUGACGCAACAUUCGUAUUCGAUAAUGUUUUAAUAGUGAGUCAUUACUCAAUCGAGUAAUAUAUUUGUGACCAACUAUUUAUUUAUUAAUGUAAUUAUAAUGAUUAGUAACAUAUAUAUUUUGUUUGAUGAUUUAAACUCUUUUAACCAAGAAAAAAGACUUUUAAUAGUCAUUCGUGAAAAUAUAUUAUACACACACACACAUAUAAAUAUUUCAUAUUUGUUGCAACUAUAUUUCAUACACAAGUGAGAAAUGAUCUAUAUAUACUCCAGUUUAUUUGUUGACGCUUCCUCUUGCAAUUUUUAUGCUGAUAAGUUGAAAAAUAUUUGACAUGUAACAAAUAUGUAUAUUUUUGGCAAAUAUAUUUUUCAUACACAAGUGAUAGAAUGAGUGAUACUAAAUAAAUGAAUUAUUGCUACGCACUAUACUAGCUUCUGUACCAGAUUCUUCAUUUUAUGAAAAUUAGCGAGGCGGGGCACGAAUUAAAGUAUGUAUAUAUAUAAAUUAAUUUUAAUUUGAAUUAUUUUAGAAAUAAAAAUUAAUAAUAAUCAACUCUACAUAUUGGUAACAUCUUUAGGGGUAUUUUAGACAUUUUGACCCAAAAAAAAUGCUUAACAACACUUGUUUACCAAACACAUCAACAAUUUUUUUUCAGUUUCAGCACUUUUAUCUAAACACGCAACUGCUUAUUUUUAAAAUAAGUUUCAGCACUUUCAAAAACAUUUUUUAGGAGCCAUUUUGUUUCGGCCUAUCCAAACGGGCUCCAAUAAUCUGCAAAAUUAAAAGCAAAUCAUAUUACAAAUAUUGAUCUAAUGAUUCUGACAUGAAGAUAGAAGAGAGAAAGCCAAACGAAAACUGUGGGUUAAUCUUGUUUUAUUAUACCAUUCCUCUUUUAGUAAAUCAGAAGAAACCGAGUUUGAUACAUUCCACAAAAGUGGAGAAAUAAAAAAUUAGGAUAGAAGAUUAGUAGGUAAGUAGUCGAGUGCUUUGCCUUCCAUUUCUCGGAGUAUGAAUUUCGAUUAUCAUUUGAUUAUUUCACCUCAAUUAUUUGAUCUUUUUGUUGCUCUUACUUACUAGGUCGUCUUUUUCGUAUGUUUUUGAGCAGAGAGUCUACCAACAACAAUCUCUCUAUCUUUGCAAGAUAAGGGUAAAAUUGGCAUACCUAGACCCUCCUUAUACCACAGAGUAACAAUCUCUCUAUCUUUGCAAGAUAAGCAUCAAAUCUGCAUAUCCACACCCUCUUUAUACCCCACUUGUAAAAUUAAACUGAAUUCUGAACUUUUGAUGUUGAAGUUCGACACACAUUUUCUCUCCUCUCAUUUCAGUUUAUCUACGUACGUUUUUUUUCCCCAUUCAAUCAAAAAGAUCCCUAGGGGAAUUGGGUAAGAUGUUUUGCAUUUAUCUUCUUGCAAUAACUAAACAAAGAUAAAUGACAAAAUAUUGACAAGUGCCACAAAAUAAACUUGCCGCCAGGAAACCGCACCCUACAGAAAAGAGCACAACCUUAUUUGUGAAUUAGGCACUUCCCACAGAGAAGGAAACUAACAUUUCCGUCAAUAACUUCCUUUGAUACAAGAUCUUUUUUUUUUUAACCAUACCACACUCCAGAAUUUGUGAUCCGAAUUUUUUUCAUUCGACCUUAAAAAGUUCGCAGUGCGAUCCACGUUUGUGAUUUUUUGUGGGGCCUGUGGUGGUAGUAUAGGGAUCGAGCCGAGUAUGGACCUAUAUAUUUUUGGACUUAAAAUCUGUUUGUACACACGUAUUAUAUAUAAGUGCGUUUAGUGGGCUGUUUCGGUAGUUUCAUAUGCACGAAAUUGAGACUAUUGUCUACACCUUGUAUUCCUCUUCUUCAUAGUAAAUUUUCUCUAUUUCUGCCCGUGGUUUUUCCCGCAAGGAUUUCCACGUAAAAUCUGUGUGUUCUUGUUUUGUUUGUGGUUUGCUUUUUCUGUCCAAUCAUAACACCAACACAAAAACCAAACCACACAAUGAGAAAAAAAGAAGAAAAAACUCCGCACAUUAUCUAGAAUUCUACCAUGGCGUUGGAUCCUUAAUUUUUUUAUGGAUUCUUUUUGAUAUCAAGGUUGCUAAUCCGACGAUCUUUUCUGUUUAUACAACAUUGAUCACACAGAAGUACACUUUGAAUAAAAUAUUAGGAGCGUCCGAAACAACGUCUUAGGGAAAAGAAAUGGUGAGGACGAGGCGAGACCUCAGGCUUAGGCUCAAGUGAUUCUCGAGGGAAAUGUUUAUAGAAUGCUUUCACAGCUCCAGUCACUCCAUCCUCAUGUUCCAUGGCUUUUGCUAGUUCUACAGCACGUUCUUUUACCUGCACCAUCACAAAAGUAAAUUAUCAAACAGUAUGUAUCGUCAUGAUGAUUUGCCAGCAGAAAAUGUGCACAUUGAUAAGAGCAGAUACCAUCAAGUUUCUUGCACUACAACCAAAAAAAAAAAAAGCAAACAAAUAUGGACAUCCCUCCAUACACACAAUAAAUAAAUAAACAUUACACUAGGAAGAAACUAGCUACCUUUGGAUCUAGCAUGAACCGGAUAGCAGCGACCAGCUUUUCAAGGGAGAACUCGUCCACAGGGAUGGGAGCAGGACCUACUCCCCUAGCAUGCACGCGUUCACCCCAAAAGGUUUGAUCGCCAAAGAAAGGUACCACAGUUGUUGGGCACUAAGAACAGCCAAAAUGUGAUCAUUCAGAAUAAGCCACUCAGACUACAUACGGGAAUAUCGUCAUGCAUGAAAUCAAAUAUUACAGCGGUUUUCAGUCCAGCAGCGGUUGUUCCAGCACCUCCAUGAUGCACCUGGAAGUAAACCAAAAAAUCCCCACAAAUCAGCUGCUGUUUAAUGAUCAAAAGGCUGAACAACUUUAUAUAAUAUGUUAUCGACUUACUACUUCAUCAAGUUGACGGAAGGUUAAAGUUGAUGCACAUAUGGCUUGCACAUGAUAUACAAAAUUUGUCCCAAUACAAAUCAUGCACUAUAUACAACAACAUACCCAAUGUAAUCCCACAAGUGGGAUCUGGGGUGGGCAGACCUUACCCCUACCAUUGUGGGAAAGAGGCAGUCCCCGAUAGAUCUUCGGCUCAUAGAAAUCUUAUCAGAAUUAAAAAGUAUCCGUGAUAUCAUUCAAUAACAUUGAAAUUCAUAUUCAAUUUUCCGAUCAAGUGUAGAUUAAUUUGUAUUCAAGUUGUUUCUUAUUUUCUCGUGUUCGGUAUGCAAGUGAAAAAUAAGUGUGGGGUAGGUGGUUGUGAGGCUAGGAGGAGACAAUGCCACUUGUUUUCCUUACUUUCAUUAAGUCAGUCAUUUUUUUUCCCUAAGGAUCUUGUUUUCUUAAAAACUAUAUUUUCCAAAAAUUUUAACCAAUUGAACAGGAGAAAAUAGGGUAUGUUUUCCUCCAUACUGAAGACACCCCAAGAUUCCAUAAGCCAACAUAAUAAGCAGAAUAACCUUUAAUUUGAAGCCAUGGGAAAAGAAGGAUAAGCUUUAAAUUAUAGGGUAGACGGCAAUUAGGAACUAAUCCAUGAAUUAAACUGGAUCAAUAAGUUAGUGGAUCACCCAAGUAGUCUCUUAAUUAAAGUAUGCUUGUGAUAUAUGUGAUACAAAGACCAGAAAAGGUGCGCAGAAUCACAAUUCACCAACUCAUAAAAUUUAUUUUAUAACCACAUCACUAAUCAUCAAUCCAGUAUCGAGUCCUGUAACAGUUUAAGAUGAAAAUGUUGGAAAGCGGAAGGACAUAUGCAAAUUUAGAUAAAGACAGGCCAAUAAACUGCGUGUAAAGAGGAUUUACCACAGCAGCACAUUGCAGGAAUAGCCAAUCGUGAGGGCAAUUAUCCAACAGGUACACAAAAUCCUUUGGUUCCUUCACUGAGAAAGGUGAUUCAGUCUUAGCAGUUUAUACAAUCAAUCAUAAACCUUGUGAACCGCAGUAGGUUGUACACAAUAUGUGGAAAAUAAAAAAUUAAAGUACUUACAGUUCCCAAGGCCACCCCAGCCUUUGUUAAUGAUACCUCUUUGUCCAGUCAUUUCUAGAGCCUGAACAAUUAUCUUGGUCAUUUUUUCAGGUUCUUGAACAGGCUGUGAAAAAACAAUCGUAAGAAAUUUGACACUAGAAGGCAAGUACAAUACUACAAAAGUCCAUAUAAAUUAGCAUAACACUUCAGUUAACUCUGAAUCCCAUGUUGGUAGACUCAUGAAUAGCAAGAAAGUAAUCAAUGGCGGUUAUUGUAACACAAGACUUAAAAAGGUACACAUGAUACUUAAAAGCUGACAUAAAUGAGUAUAAUACUUCAGUUGAUCUUGAAUCCCAUGUAGCUUAGACUCAUAGCAGCAAAAGGAAAUUAUUGGUGCUAAACUUACAAGACUUCCAAAGCCAAUAUAGAUAGGCUUUUCACCAUCUUCAAGCCAUUUGACGAGUGAUUCUCGGGGUUCAUAAUUGGAAGCAAGGUCUAGGAAGCAAAACCCCACCACGUCAAUUUUUGGGCCCCAAUCUGCAAAUCACCCAGUAGAAUAAACACUGUUACUCAGACAUCAUGUUCUGCUGCCAAUUCCCUCGGUAAUAAGAAAGGCGACAAUAUGAUACAAGGGCAACUCUUUAAUGACAAUGAAACAAUCAUGUUCAGAAGGAAAAUGGAGAAACCAAGAAGCUUUAUCUUCUAAUGAUAUUUACUUGCAGACCACUUAUUAAUCUUUGUGAUACAGCAUUCCAUCUUUAUCAAAAGGAAUAGCAGCAUGUUACACUCAGAGAUGCCCGCACUUGGUUUCUCCCGGAUUAAGUUUGCGAAGAAGGAAUAAAUAGCAAUUCUAAAAAUCUAAAACACUGGUUACUUGGCUGAUAAAAUAGGAUUUGAAGCUUAUAAACUAUGCUAAGUACAACAGCAUACAGAGAUUUUGAAGUAACAAUUUAGCAACUUAGAAGCUCCAAAGAAAAUUGAAGAUGGAAAAGGCAACAUCUACCUACGACAUAUGCACGAAGAACUAAAAGACAAACUAAAGAGUAGGAAAAUGGAGAAAUCUCCAACUUCUUCAUCAAAUUUCUUUAGUCAUGCACAAACCGAAAAAUUUGCAACUUAAUUUGGAAUAAUAUUAGAAAGUGAAUAAAAACUGCAUCAACAUAAAAGAAGCAAUUAUACGUGAAAGAAGACGACUAUUUCAGCUAUAUUAUCCUUUUCCAGUCUUCCCUUAUAUCAGCAAAGAUUUGAGUUAUUAUUAUUGUUAAACCAACCUUUCCAUUAGGCACUUCGGACAUUUGAAAUUUCCUCAUAACUCCAAUUUCUCCUUUUUGCUUAUUCCAAGCCUAAUAGCCUGCUUGGGAUUGCCUUUUUAAAAAAAAAAAACACUUUUUUUUGAGAAAAAAAUAAUUUUUUUAAAAGAAGGGUGUUUGGUAAACUUGCAAAAGUGCUUUUAAACAACAACAACAACAACAACAACAUACCCAGUGUACUCCCACAUAGUGGGGUCUGGGGAGGGUAGAGUAUACGCGAACCAUACCACUACCCCAGAUGAAGUAGAGAGGCUGUUUUCGAUAGACCCUCGUCAUAGGACCGAUAACAGUAUAGCAAUCACAAAACAUAAAUGCGUAUAGACUAGUAUAUAUAUACGUAUAUACAUAUAUAUAUAUAAUGACAUAUUUGUUACCAAGUGGUGAGUUUUUUAACAUGACCUGGUUGUUUGCAAUUUCCAUAGAUUGCAUCAGGUCUCCACCAACAAAAAUUCUCCAAGUGUGUCUUCUUUUUGCAGUGUCUGCAAGGAGGAUAAUUACCUUUUCCUUUUUUGUUUUGUGCAUAAAAGGCACUCUAAGUAACAUUGUCUUGUCUAAAAGCUCUUCUUUGUUCUUGUGCUUGAAGAACACUUAUUAGUUCUUCAACAGAAAUAGUAGAGAGAUCUUUAGACUCCUCCACAGAUGAGAUUUUAGACUCGAAUCUCUCCGGAAAUGUCACAAGAAUUUUUCUACUAUUUUGUCAUCUUUGAAAUCCUCGCCAAGUAACCUGAUUUUACUGACAAACAAAGAAAUCUUUUCAAAAUACUUAGCAAAAGUUUCAUCCUCUUGCAUUCUAAGAGAUUCAAAAUUUGCAUUUGUCUAACUCGAUCACUUCCUUGAUAUUCUUUUUUUAGCUUUUCCCAAGCUUCAUUUGCUGUCUCACAAGCAAUGAUUUUAGAAAAAAUAGAAUCCGCAACUGAAUUUUGAAUUACAAUUUUGGCUUUGAAUUUUUCGAGCUUUUCAUCUAAAUGAGAUUUAAUUUGAGCAACAGUAGGAUUUUCAGGGAGUGGUUGUAAUGGUGUAUCAUCUGCUACAACUUCCCACAGAUCAUAGGCUUGAAGAUAUGAUUUCAUUUUCACUGACCAAAUUUGGUAGUUUUCGCCAGUGAAAAUUUUUGGGGCAUUCAAUGAGAGACUGCUGCUUGACAUCUUUUUGGUUGAAAAUAGCCCUACGCUUUGAAAAUAAGUACGGGUUGAAAAUGGUAGCCCUGACGGGUUAAAAUGGAUAGCCCUGACAGGUUAAAAAGGUAGCCUUUAUGGGUUAAAAAGAUAGCCCUUGCGGGUUAAAAAUGGUAUGGUAGCGCUUUGGAAGAACACACAGAUCCUGUAAUAUCAAUGAGGCUCUUGAUACCACUAUUGUUUUUUUUAAAGAAAGAUGGGGUAGCGAAAAGGGGGUUAAAAUGACUCUCAAUGGAUUGAAUAACUUUCAAUAGCUUUCAAUAGUAUUCAAUGAUUUUAUUGAACAUCAAGGUGCUUUAAAUAGCCACCUUACAAUAGAAAAAUCAGCAACAUUCAAAAUUUAAACUAACUAAAAUAUCUCAACAAAUCAAACAACCUAACUUAAAUUCAAAAUUCAAAUUUAUCCUAAAUUACCUAACUUAUUUUGCUAAAAACUAGUGCAGUAACUUAAGCAAUUUCCAACAGAAAUCAGUCACUUCAGCAUAAGUCAUUGCAUUUCCUCCUAUUCUGUAUUCCCUUAUAAUAGAUAAUUAAAAUAAAAUUUCUCUAUAAAAUGAUUUUAGUAGUACAAGUCUAUUGAUACAUGUUUUUUUUGGUCAUUUAUCUCUCAAAAUCACCACUUCUUGAAAAAAAUUAUCCAAACACAAUCUGUUUAUCAAAAACACUUUUCAAAUAAUUUACCAAAACACAAAUUAUUUUUUUUCAAAAAUACUUAUCUGAAAAGCUAUUUUAUAAAAGUGCUUCUCAAAUAAGCAGUUUUUUAACAGCAAUCCCAAACGGGUUCUUUCUUCACUCUAUAAAGAUCUAGUGUUAUGUGCAUACAAAUCCAUCCUUUACUGUGGUCUGAGCUCUUCUUUUGGAAGGAAGACACAGUCGUAGUUAUGNNNNNNNNNNNNNNNNNNNNNNNNNNNNNNNNNCACAUUAAAACCCCCCCCCCCCCCCCCCCAAAAAAAAAUAAAAGACUAACCCUUGAGACUAACAGCAGCCCUUUAUCACUUCUCUCUUUGCCACUCAAAUCCUAAACCUUAUAGUUGGAAGUUCAUAGUCCUUACCCACUACCACUAGGCUAUUCCUGUUGUAAUUACUAACUACUACUGUAAGACUAAUCUUAGGAAAUCAAGGAAAAUAUCAGCUAUGCAGUUUUUACGUCUGAAUCUGAGAUCCGGGGGGGGGGAUAGAUAGAGACGGGUAGAGCUAGACUGAUAAGGAAAAGUAACGGCACUCCCAACAGAAUGAGAAAGUGCUCCCUUACUAGUACAGAAGAGAACAAUACUAUCAAGGAUUUCUUCGCAGGUCCUUCUUAUGAGUGAAAUACUACUUCAAAGAAGAGGUAAGGUUUCUUGGCAGGUUCUAGCUAAAAAGCAUAGUGUGCAUUAUUCUGUACUCCCUUUCAAACUAAUUCUCGAUGAAGCCUCCAAAACUUCUUCAAGCAUGCUUCUCAGAUAGUAGAGAACUCCCACCCACCUUCAACUCCCAUCUCAACAAUCAAAUAUGGCGGCAUCAGUUCUUUAUACAUGAACCAAGAAAGACACAACAUUCAACUACAGACUAUUAACAAAGGCUCAUAAUCACUUCAAAUUAGUCCUGUGCUUCCUCAGAAGUAUAAUAUACGUGUGAAUACUUGUGUAGUUUCUAACAAUGAGAAUACCUUUCCAAGAUGAUACACUAAACUAAUCAAGCAACAGAUCUCAUUUAUCCAUUGAUUCAGUCCUACUGGUUAUCUACAGAAAAGAGAAGAUUUACAUUCCUCCUAUGAGAAACAGGAGAGAAAUCCUACAAACAUCAAAAUGAACUUAACCAAUGAAAGCAACAAAUUAAACAGAGUAAAACUGAAUAUAACUUAGUUAGGACAAAACUGGAGUAUGUGGAGGAGUUAUACGUGAGCCUUCUAUUACUCUAAAGAGUCACUUGUUUCUACUUUUGGGAAGAGAAACAUCUCCUUCUGACUUUGAAGCCUUUUUUAUUGUUUCUGUCUAAUUUCUUAUUGAAUGUUGAGUCUACCCAUACCUUCCCCAUUUCAAGGUCUUACGAAGGAAUGAGAGAGAAGCUUGUUCAAACCCGAAACAGCUUAUUACAUGGUCAUGCCAUGGAACAGCUUCCAAUGUAAUGCAAAAGCUAUUUAUGAAUGUGACCUAAACCUACACAUUAUUAGGUCCAGAUUGACCAUCUGAGGGACAUUAAAGAGAAAUCUAGAACAAGAACAGAUCUACCAUUCAAUCAAAUUUCAACUAUCAACUUAUGACGCAACGGGUGUUCUCCUCAUGACCAACUGAAUGUGAAGUAACUAAAAAGGUAGGCAAGUUGGGUAAAAAGAUCUACAGUUUAUAUUCAAAAACUAAUAAACUAUGUAUAGAAUGAACCAUCGAAAAUUCACUAUUCAUCUCGACCAAGCAACUCACAAGAUAAAGAGUCUAUAACAAGAUAUUUUGAAAGAGACCUUUGGGUUUAGGAACUAGGUGUGGACUCCAUAUAUACCCAUAUGGCACAUCUGGAUGAUAACUGUUGGAGUUGCUCAAAUAAGUUACUGGCCUUAACUUCAGCUUUUUCUUCCUAAAGUCAUUUAUCACAUCCCGAAUCCCUAGCCAGAUCAGUCCAUCAACGACUUGAUAUGAUAGCUGCACAAGGCAUUCAGAAAUUAGACAUAAAUGAAACAAACGAAACAUCAAGUGAAGUCGAAAUGCUAAAGAAAAUGAAUGUCAUCGAACACUCACUCUAUAACCAACUGACUGCUUGACACGAGAGAGAGGAUGUGGAAACUCGCUAGUAGGCCUGCCAACAUAUGACAGCAGGAAACUUCAGAAAUGUUGCAUGUUACAAGAAAUUCCAUAAUCCUAGUCAGAUAUAAAGAGAAAGAAUUGCAAAAGAAACCCGAGGAAAAAAUCUAUAUUUAAAAUAGACCACUUACGUCCAUGGCAUUGUGAAAAAUAUAUGCAAUGGUACUUUCAGGGCCUCUGCUACAUGCAUAUGUCCUUAACAACAUCAAGGCAACGGAUUAGUUAAAUCACACAACUAUGUGGGGAAUUUUACUUGAUCUAACAAAGCAUCAAUAGUAGUACUCUUGAAUCAAAAUCUAUUCCAACUAAAUAAAAAAGAUGAUUUAAAUAAACAGAACUUCUUCCAGAUGCCAGCAAUACUGUUAGGAAGCACCUGUGACGAGUCAACUGUGUAACAACCAAGGAAUACAGAUCCAAAUGUCAAAUUCCUUUACUUUGUAAAACUAAUGUCUCAUUUAAAUAGAACAUCAGCAAGGGCGGAAGGUAUAAAUAUUAAGAUGCAGAAUUUUCCAUGCAGCAAUCGACUGACUGACUUUAAGUAUGAGCAAUGUGCCAAUGCUAUCCAAAUCUAAACUUUGAUUUAAAAAAAAUUUCAGCACUUCCUAUGUGGCUAGUGCAAACUGACAUUCCAAGAAACUGUAAAGACACAUUAUGUUAUGAUCUUUUGAGGAAGGAUCGAUUCACAGGGCGAUAUAUAUAAAUUUAGCUCAUUAAAGGGAGGCUGAAACCUUAGAGUUCAAUAGAAGAGAGAAUUAUGUUCUCUUCAGCUCGUUAAAGGAAGGCUGAAACCUUAGAGUUCAAUGGAAGAGAGAACCCCAAUCUCUUGCUUUUUACUGAAAUACGACUUAUUAAUUUAUUCUUCAAAAACUCCUUUAAAUAGGAGUCAUAUCACAUCAAUAAAGUCUAAUCCUAAUGAAAGUAGGAAACACAAAAUCUUAUUCUACAAUAAUAAAUAAAGUUACUUAAAAUAUAAAUAAGUGAUAAAUAAAAUUACUUAAAAUAAUAAUUAAAUAAUUAAUUAAUUGACUUUCACUCAUCCACAACAUUACUCCCCUCAAGUCCUCAAGCUCAAAUUUCAGGAAAGUCAUCUAGAAAAUAUGAAAUAGUAUCAACUUAAUUAUUAAUUCCAACCCUAGCAACUUUUCUUGAAGUUGAUAUUGGUAAAUGUCAACUCUAUCAAUUUGCUGAAGCGUGACUAAUUCGCCCAUCACGUUGCUACUUUCAGGAGAUCCAACUUGAUCCAACUUGCUGGAAACAACAUUUUUGAAAUUCUUCCCAACUCAUUGGGCCUUUUGCUCGUUUAAGCUGAUAAUAGCAUAAUUGUGCUUCUCCGAACAUGUGAAACCCAACCACUUCAACUUUUACCGCUUCCGUUGUAUGUUGAUUUUCAAAAAAUUGUUCCCAACAGUGUACCCAAAUUAAUGGGUCUUUGGUUUCGUCAUAAGUAAGAAAAUCCGUCUUUACAUACCUUGGUAUUGUCAAAUUGGAAUUACCGCUUGUUGGGUGAUUCUGAUUGGCCAGUUGAAUAGGCGGUGUAGUGCCUUUCGUAGCAGGAAUUGUUGAUUUGCCAGUCGUCGGGGCGCUACUCGACCCUGGUCUGUGGGUUUGCUGGUUUUGUGGAGCCAAUUCCCAAGCUAGAUAAUUGUUCUUGGAUGAUGACUUGGACAAUUUUUUUGCCAAGGCGUUGUUCCAUUGUUGCAAUUUUAAAAUUCAUUAGGGUUGCUGUAAUCACACGUUCUUUUUGGAAUCGGGAAUUAAUCUCAUCCGCCCAUUGUGUUAGUCUCUGAUAUCGAAUUGUUAGGAUCUAAAUUGUUAUGAUCUUUUGGGGAAGGAUGAGGGCUAUAUAUAAAUUCAGCUCAUUAAAGGGAGGUCGAAACCUUAGAGUUCAAUAGAAAAGAGAACUCUGAACUCUUCAGCUCGUUAAAGGGGAAACUAAAACCUUAGAGUUCAAUAGAAGAGAGAACUUCACUAUCUUGCUUUUUGCUGAAACACGACUUAUUGAAUUAUUCUUCAAAACCUUUAAAAGGAGUCAUAUUACAUCAAUAGUCUAAUCCUUAUGCAAGUAGGAAAAAUAAAACCCCAUUCUAGAAAAUCUAAUCCUGAUGAAAGUAGGAAACAUAAAAACUUAUUCUAGAAUAAUAAAUAAAGUUACUUACAAUAUAAAUAAGUAAUAAAUAAAAUUACUUAAAAUAUUAAUUAAAUACUUAAUUAUUUGACUUCCACACAUCCACAACACAUUAGUUAGUAAUAAGGUUAUGAUAGUACUACUUGUCACGAACCAACCAUUGGCAUGGAGUAAGAUAACUACUAAGAGUGGAAAUGUCUUCACAGUUUCGAUCACUACUACCAGCGUCAGCAUACAGUGCCAAAAUCCAAUCUUCAGCAAAAUAUGCAGAAAAAUUAGAGUGGCACUACCUUGACUGCAAGAGUUCAAAUGGAAACAGAAGAUCUGAAAACUCUCUUAUAGGGUGCCAUCAGGACUUUUUUUCCUUGUUUCAAAGUUUAAGCCAUAUGGAGAAGUAAAGUGUAGAUAAAAUCAAAUAAUUGCUGAUGCAUUGACCAGAAGAAGAGGAAUCAGUGUAUCUGAAACUUUGAAUCUCAUAUACUGUGUUCUGUGUUUGUGCUUGCUUUUACGAAAACACACGGUUAUAAAUGUAUGGAGUAUAUUUUUUGACAACAUGAGUCGUUCAAAAGUUAAAGAACCAAUCCUUUUGAUGUAAACAAGGGAAAGAUGGGAAUGGUGAUGUACAUUUUUUAUUAGCAACAAAGUGAAGGUAAAACUUACAACGCAAGCAACCUCAUCAAAUCAUGAAUAGUUCAGAUUAUAAUUCAUCAAACUGAUAGUCUUACCAUAUGCAGGAGGAUUGGCAAUAAUGGCGUUUACUUUGAAUGGAACAUUUGACUCCGGAUCGGGAUCUAUGCAUGCAGGUAAUAAGGAGAAUACAAUAUCUUUAAUCUGAUUCCGUUGAAUAAGUAUUUCCGAAGGUCCAGAUGGCAAAAACCCUUUAUUCUUUACCAUGUCUGCAAAAACAUAUAUGCACUGAUCAGCUUUGACUAAAACGAAAUAUGAGAAAUGUGACACAAUAAAGAAGGCAGUGGAUAAGGUUUUCAGUGAUGCUCACAUGCAGCAAGAACUUUUGGAUCUCCACCUAGAGGAUAAAAUUCCAAUCCAGCACCCAAUACAAACUCCUUAAAAUUGGCAUGAGUUGCUAGUCUCACCCUAUGACCAUUUUCCUGCAAAAGAAAUUCCCACUUUCAAGCAACAAUAUGCCUCUUAGUUGACUUCAAAAUUAACUGGAAUAAUUAUCAAAGGCUCGUCCAGCAAAUGCUAUGGAUGCUACAACAACAACAAACCCAGUGUAUUCCCACCUAGUGGGGUCUGGGGGGGUAAGAUGUACUCAGUCCAUACCUCUACCUCUGAUGAAGUAGAAAGGCUGUUUCCGAUAGACCCCCGGCUCAAGACACGAGAUACCACACAAAUACAUAGUAAAGCACAGAAGCAGAUUACAUAACAUAAAUACGGCACCCAUAAGUAAUAUAAAACAGAGGAAAGCAAAGGAAAGCACACAGAUUCGUAAUAAAACAUGGAACACGGAAGACGGAAUCAUAACAGGAAUAAAACCCCCUCCAAGUANNNNNNNNNNNNNNNNNNNNNNNNNNNNNNNNNNNNNNNNNNNNNNNNNNNNNNNNNNNNCCUACACUAGCGACCCAAACUGGCCCUAAUCCUCUGCCGAAAUUCGCGCCCUCCAGACCUUCUUAUCUAGGGUCAUGUCCUCGGUGAGCUGUAACUGUUCCAUGUCCCGCCUAAUCACCUCACCCCAGUACUUCUUCGGCCUACCCCUACCCCGCCUAAAACCAUCCAGCGCUAGCCUCUCCCACCUACGGACCGGGGCAUCCAUGCCCCUCCUCUUCACGUGUCCGAACCAUCUCAAUCGUGCUUCCCGCAUCUUGCACUCCACUGAAGUCACACCAACCUUCUCCCGAAUAGUCUCAUUCCGAACUCUAUCCCCUCUAGUCAGUCCACACAUCCAGCGCAACAUCCGCAUUUCUGCCACCUUCAUUUUCUGGAUGUAGGAGUUCUUAACUGGCCAACACUCCGCUCCAUACAACAAGGCCGGACGGACUACCACCCUGUAGAAUUUGCCUUUAAGCUUGGGCGGCACCUUCUUAUCACACGUCACCCCCGACGCGAGUUUCCACUUCAUCCAUCCCGCCCCAAUACGAUGCGAGACAUAGCAAAUGCUAUGGAUGCUAUUUCCUAAAUAUUAUUGCACACUUACAUUGUAAAAGACGGAUGACAUGUAUCAUCCAGAAAUUCAUGGAUAGUAAAGAUGUAUAUAAGUUCUAACUAAUAG
rnacentral:lncRNA from 1 species